rnacentral:rRNA from 1 species
UAGUGCUUUACACAUGCAAGUCGAGCGGAUUUCUCUGUUUGUAGCAAUACAAACGGAAGGGAAUACGAGCGGCAAACGGGUGAGUAAUGGAUAGGUAAUCUACCAUAAUGACUGGGAUACCCCCUUGAAAAGGGAUCAAUACCAGAUAAUGUCAGUUUAAAUACUUUAAGCUGAAGAAAGAUGGCCUAAAGCUAUCACAUUAUGACGAGCCUAUCUCCUAUCAGCUUGUUGGUGAGGUAAUGGCUCACCAAGGCUAUGACGGGUAGCUGGUCUGAGAGGAUGGUCAGCCACACUGGAACUUAGACACGGUCCAGACUCCUACGGGAGGCAGCAGUGGGGAAUCUUGGGCAAUGGGCGAAAGCCUGACCCAGCGACACUGCGUGGGUGAUGAAGAUCUUUGGAUUGUAAAACCCUUUUCCUGAAGAUGAAAGGUAGGAUUGAGAAUAUCCUUCCUACCCUGACAGUAUUCAGGGAAUAAGCCCCAGCCAACUACGUG